GGCCCCAUCGUCUAGUGGCCUAGGACGUCGGGUUUUCAUCCCGAAAAUCGAGGGUUCGACUCCCUCUGGGGUCACCG
rnacentral:tRNA from 1 species